UACGUAGGGAGCAAGCGUUGUCCGGAAUCAUUGGGCGUAAAGCGCGCGUAGGCGGCCUCAUAAGUCCGUUGUGAAAGUCAAAGGCUCAACCUUUGAAAGCCGAUGGAUACUGUGAGGCUAGAGUCCGGAAGAGGCGAGUGGAAUUCCUGGUGUAGCGGUGGAAUGCGCAGAUAUCAGGAGGAACACCUGCGGCGAAGGCGGGUUGCUGGGCCGACACUGACGCUGAGGCGCGAAAGCCAGGGGAGCGAACGGG
rnacentral:rRNA from 1 species